rnacentral:lncRNA from 1 species
GAAGCCCACCACAUAUCGCCACAAAAGUUCAGCACACCACACCUGCCUUCCCCAGAUGGGGCUCCCCGCGCAAACGCCUCCUCGUCCUCCAACCAGGGUGUAAGCUCCUCCCUCGUUAGAACGCCGUGCUGUCCUAGCUCCAGAGCGCCUGGGCUGCCUGGCGGCGGGGAGUGGGCCCAGCUCUCUGCCAUUGGUCGCAUGGCCCCGGAGGGAGGAGGGACAGCGCAGAGCCCAGCGCAGCCUACCCGGUGCCCACUCCCAUUGCGCUCGCCGCUCGUGCGCUCUGCUCUCGCUCCGCGCCCCCGCGAGGUGCAUUCCCUAGGAUCGUCGUGGGGCGCACGUCGUCAAGACAGGGCCGCUGCCCCACCCCAGCGCCGGAGUCCAGAUCUGCACAUCAGGUCAUCUGCUUUUCCUGGGGAGUCGCCACAGGCACAUUGACGGCUGGCGUUUCUCUGCCCUGUAUUCCCUUGAGUCUCCUCGCCUGGCUGCAAAUUCGGAUAAGUUCUUCCCGCUGAACUCUUGGGUUCCCCAGCGGAGCUUUCUUAGCUCCCCCCAAAACCGGGUAAGCAAUUCACUCUCAACCCUUCUCUUUCCCGGGAUGUGAGACGCGAGAUUGCCUGCAGUCCUGCACCUCCCAGGCAAGCGGGAGGUGCGCGCAUUAUGGGCAAAUGUUUGAGUUCUCAUUCAGACCAAAGAAUAAGCAACGCUCCCUCCUCCUGAGAGAACAGAGAGCCACAUUCAUUCGCAGAAACGUCUUGAAGACCAGGUUUGUGGACUGUGCCUGUAUGCCUUGUGCGGUCAGGUGUCUGGUGCUGGGGGCUCCCCCAGGUUUAGUGUCAGGGACUCCAGGGACUAGGUCUGUUUCUUAAUGUCCUCCGUUUUCUCUGCCGAUUUGUCUUCCUGGCAAGAAUGUUCUGUUGAAGCACUUCAAUUCAGUGGGUCUUGUCUCACAGUGCUUUGUUUAGAGGAAGGUCAAAGCUAUCCUGUUGGACUUGGCUCCCAAUGCAGGUACCAGAGCAGGUGAAUGGACAACUGCUCCCAAUGCAGGUGAAUAGACAACUGCAGGCCCUGAACUGAGGUCCACCCAGAAACCACUCCUUAGGAUGCUUGUUCUAGGAUACUUUUCAGUUUCUGUGCCUCCGAUUCACUGUGCAGGCAACAGGAAAGAGACAAGACUGUUGAGUCUUUUCCUAAAAUAUUUACUUUUUUUCUGCCAUCCCAAUACACUGUCCUUAAAACUGCAUUAAAAUCAUAUUUAAUUGUCCUCGUUGGCCAGCUAUAUCAU